GCUUGGACUAGGGCCUAUACUGAUGCUGUCUGUGCUUGAUUAGAGGGAGAGAGGGUGGGGGUGGGGCUUUCUGGGUAGCCAUGGGGAUCUCCAGGCAGGAUGUGCUGUUCGGAUGUGCUGGGUACCUGAGGUCUCUGGCUGCAGCACAGUGACCUAAUUCAAGCUACUAUGUGGCCAUUGCUGGGUUGGGUCUCCUGUAGGAAAUCUGAGAUGUCUGUUCUCAGCCUAUUGCCUCUCUCAGAUGUCAGAGUUCUGUCACCUUCUGUCUCCAGUAGGGCUCUGUCUUCCCCUACCCCUCUAUCCUCUCCUAUGACAUCACAGGAUCCCAUCCUAUCAACUGCCCCAGGAGGCUUGGCAGUUGUUUUUGAAAAAGCUGGCUGCAGGUCUCUGUUCCCAGUAGGGCCCCCACUGGCUCAGGACUUUGAGAGGUGUCCUCAGUUGUGCUAUGAUUCUAAACUCCAUAACCUGCAUCCCUGGGCUGGUCCUGGAUGCUUCUUGUCAUCUCUGGUGAGCAGGGAGAGGUGUACAACUGGCUGAAGAGCACUGGGAAUGGUCUGGGAUCACUUUCAUCCCUGUGGGUCAGCAGUGGCUCAGGCCUCCACCUGCCUGGUUCCUGUCCCCAGUCUUCACUGUCUAAGGCUCAGGUUCUUUGCCAUCAAUCACAGGUCACCUUGAACUGUGGGAUCCUUUCAUGGGUUAGUGGGUCUUCCAACUAUGCCUGGCUUUUGGGGGUCUGUGGCGCAGUUGUGGUUUCUGGCCCUGGAUGUGUUUGUAGCCUUUACCCUGUUGGCACCAGUGAUGCUCAGAGCCACCUGCUGUGUGCCUGCCAGCAUCCCUGAAUGUGCUGUGGCCCCUUUGGCAGGUCCUCCAGACUUGAUGACUGCAGAAGCUCUGGGGUGUGUCUCCUGGGCUGUGCCUUCCUCCUCCUCUUAACCACAGGUUCUUUCCCCAGCAAAGACAGAAGAGGUUGGCCCAGGUGCAGCAGAGGGUAGAAACUGAAGCUCACUCGUUCUCCUUCUCUGUGGUGUGCUGGCCUAAGAGGAGAAGAGAUAAUGGGGGUGUAAGACAAAGUGAAAGCAGAAACGUCAAGUUCAUUGUCUUGAUGGAUGCAGUGAGCCCUAGCAGCCCCUGGCUAACAGCUUCUAGCACUCAGCGAGCAGCCAUCCUGGCAACAAUUCUGGACAGAAGUCCUUGGGCACUUGUUUUGUAUCUUGUGCUCCUAGGACUGCUGGGAAGGGCUCCAUCCCUGUCAUGUGUGUCACCAAACCCACCCACACCCCCGUUUCUCAAACUCUCACACCCCUAAUUACACAAUUGAAAGUUGGUGCAUGGCAAUCGUAAUGGCCAAUCUUGGUUGUCAUUUUGACAUAUCUGGGAAGAGGGAAUCUCAUUUGAGGGAUUGAUCGCCUCCAUCAGAUUGUCCUGUUGGCACGUCUGUAGAGCAUCUUUUUGACUGCUAAUGGAUGUAGGUGGGCCCGGCCCACUGUGGGUCUUACCAUUCCAGGCAGGUGAACCUUGGCUGUGUAAAAAAGGUGGCUGAGCAAAUCCGAGAAAGACAUGCCAGUAAAUAGUGUUCCUGUGUGGUCUGUGCUUUAAAUUCCUGCCUUGAGUUCCUACCCUAGCUUCCCUGGAUGAGCUGUAACUUGUAAGAUGAAAGAAAGUUUUCUCCCCGAAGGUGGGUGGGCUCACACCAAAGGAGACACGUUCCCAUAGUUAGAACUGUCCCACAACUGAUGCCGCCAGGUUUAAGGCAGCGCGAGCGUUCAUGAAGCCUGUGGCCAACUGUGCUGUUGCAGAGGGACUUUCUACUGGUGUGUCUAUGUGCUGGAGAAGCAGUGGAGCUGGCUUAACAGAGGCAGCAACCCCAGCAAUGACUUCGCAGCCCUUGAGCACUAUUAAGCAUUGCGUAUUUUCCUGCCAAGGCUUGGAAAGGCCAACAACUUGGCAGGACCAGCUUUUUUUUGUUGUUGUCUUCUCAUUUGCCCUGCUCCCAUCCUCCUGAGUACACAGAGGAAGACCUGAGCUAUCCUUUUUUUUCUCUGCAGCAACGCAGGCACUCCAUCUGUUUCGUCUGCUCGACACCUCCACUGGGAGUCUCAGGAGGUGAGUGACUUGCUCCUAACAGGUAACAGGCACCACCUUGUAGGUGCUACUUUUUAAUUAUUUUAUUUGGGGUUCCUUAAGCCUCUACAUCCCUUCCAACCCCCAACCCUAGGUAGAAGAGAAAGAAAGUUAGAUGGGAAAGGGACGUAGGUCUCUUUAGACUUAGUUCUGGCUGGUGAGGGUGGUCGGGUUCUUCGGGACAAUAACAAUCUCGGUCAUUAGGAUAUCCAGCCUUCUUCCUUUUCUGACUGUCUCCUCAAAGCCUCUCUCAGAAUUAAACUAUCUGCAGCUGGCAACGACCACGCCCCUCUCUGAGGCCUAUGAGGUAAUUAUCAGCUGUGGAUGACCAGAAGCAGUCGCAUAUCCCACACUUGGGAUUAAAAGAAAAACCUGUUUACGUAACAUAACUGAGUCUUUAAAGAAACCAAAACCUGGACUACGCCCCCUGCUGUUUGAAGAAUGAACACAGAUAUGCAAAUAUCUCUGUGAUAUUCUGACUUCUGUUCUGUCGGGCAUACAGUCAGAAGCAGUUUCGCUGGGUCGUGUGGUAGUUAACAUCUUUGAAGAGCCUCGGUACUGACUUACACAGUAGCCAACUAGAUCACGUUCUCACCAGCGGUGGAUAAACACCCCACCUUGUCUUCGUAGCUGUUCUGAGUGGGGUGAGACAAAGAUUAAUAUAUUCAAUUUGUAUUUCCCCAAUGCUAAGGAGGUUAAACAUUUUCCUCUGUAUUUUCUGCUAUUUGUAUUCCUUUUUGGGGAAUGCGACUAUUAAUAAUUUUUAAUGUUCAGUUAUUGUCCAUUUGUAGGUUGGCUGAUUUUGGGUGUGUGUGUGUGUGUGUUUUACUUUGUAGAUUCUAGAUAUUAGUCUCAGGUGGACGCCCAGAUGUUUUCCCAUUCUGUAGACCAUGCGUGUCUAAUCCUGAGCCACAUGCAGCCCGGAACAGGUGUGAAUGUGGGGCAACACAGAUCUUAAAUUUAUUUAAAACAUUGUGAGAUCUAAAAAUUAAAAAUUAAAAAUAAUUUCUCAAGAGUGACCUUUGUAGAUGAUGUCAUGUCUCUGUCAUACAAAAUAAAUGUGUGUGCAUUGGCACUAUUUGUA